GCAGUAGUGAGAGACGUAAAAUAAAACCGCGAGCUAACAUGAAAUACUGAGGAAAGCUGAGUUAAGAAAUACUACUGUAAAGUACAUAUUUUGUAUUUUAUUUUCAAGUUUGUGGUCUUGUGGUCGUGUCGUCUGCAUCGGAGGAGUAGGGGGAGAGCGGGGACGGUUGCAACAGGGGACAGUUGCAACAUGACUUAUUCCUCCGAUCAGGAAUGAGGUAGAGUGAUGAUACUCAUACUGCACAUGCUUAGUUAGCCCCUCCCCCGAUCUGAAAGAAGUCAGCCAUUUGUGACCAUUCCUUCAGGGAAAAGCUAAUUUUGAGUAUGCCACGAGCCACGAGAGAGGAAACACACAACAGAUAGGGGUGUCCCUCUACCUGUUCUGAAGUCAGCAGCAAAUAUAGUGAAGGAUGAACUCAUUUAUUUCUCUCUAAACCUCUCUCUGUUACACAUGCAUACACUAUCUUACACACAGACACACACACACACACACACACACACACAGACAGACAGACAGUUCAUUUCAGGAGUUCACAGAAGUAGUUCAGUAAAUUUUCAGUCUAGAUUUUCAUUAAAAAUAUUUUGUUGGUCAAUUUUUUUUUAGGCCUAAUAAUUAACCAAAACAUGAUUGUUACUUGUUCUUUUACUAGUCUUUGUAUUUUUAUGGCCAAUUUAACAAAUUCAACAAUUUAACCAAUAUACAUUUUGUAUGUUCACAAAUAAAAUAAAGAAAUUGCAAUAUAAUGUUAUAUAAUGUUUCUUUAUUAUUACAUUUUAAUAAGUGUUGCAACUGUCCCUGUGGACUGUUGCAACCGUCCCCUGCUAGGGGUCAGUUGCAACGUUUCACUUUGUCUGUUCAAGUUUAAAUUGUACAUAUAUUAUCAUAUGUAUGCAUGUAACAGCACUGUGGUUGGGUAUCUGACAGAUGUGGGUUUAAUAUAUAAAGAUUUUGGCUUUCCACAAAAAACUGUCUCUGAGAAACUGAAGGAAAUACAAAAAGUGUUGCAACCGUCCCCACUCUCCCCUACUGGAGUCUUUUCCUGUGAUUGCCGUCGUAACAACAGGAGAUUUCUCCAAGCAAAAACAGGAUCCUGAAUAUGAGGGCAGAAUCGUCAUACAGCCAGCUGUCCGUUUUACAGAAAUGCAGAAUUAGGUUCAUUCAGAUCUUUGUGGCACCAAAUGCAUUGAAAGUCACAGGUCAGCUGGAAUUCUGGAAAGAGGGUGCAAAGAAAAAGGAUCUGCCUGAAUCCCAUCCUGCUCUUUCUCAUCGGAGAGCUUGUCAACUUUGUCAAAAUUACUGAAAUUUAACACAACACAAACUCAUUUUUACUGUAUUACUUGAUUUUAUUAACACUACCAGUCAAAAGUUUUUGAACAGUAAGAUUUUUAUUGUUUUUAAAGAAGCCUCUUCUGCUCACCAA